rnacentral:rRNA from 1 species
CGUACACUCCUGCGGGAGGCAGCAGUGGGGAAUUUUACGCAAUGGGGGAAACCCUGACGUAGCGACACCGCGUGAGCGAAGAAGCCCUUUGGGGUGUAAAGCUCUGUCAGCUGGAACGAAAACAAUGACGGUACCAGCAGAGGAAGCAUCGGCUAACUACGUGCCAGCAGCCGCGGUAAGACGUAGGAUGCGAGCGUUGUCCGGAUUUAUUGGGCGUAAAGAGUUCGUAGGUGGUUUGUUAAGUUUGGUGUUAAAGAUCGGGGCUCAACCCUGGGACUGCACUGAAUACUGGCAGACUCGAGUGUGGUAGAGGCUAGUGGAAUUCCCAGUGUAGCGGUGAAAUGCGUAGAUAUUGGGAAGAACACCGGUGGCGUAGGCGACUAGCUGGGCCAUAACUGACGCUGAGGAACGAAAGCCAGGGGAGCGAAUGGGAUUAGAAACCCGUGUAGUCCCAUGAU